rnacentral:rRNA from 1 species
UACGUAGGGGGCAAGCGUUAUCCGGAUUUACUGGGUGUAAAGGGAGCGCAGACGGCAGUGCAAGUCUGGAGUGAAAGCCCGGGGCCCAACCCCGGAACUGCUCUGGAAACUGUGCGGCUAGAGUACUCGAGGGGCAGGCGGAAUUCCUAGUGUAGCGGUGAAAUGCGUAGAUAUUAGGAGGAACACCAGUGGCGAAGGCGGCCUGCUGGACAGUAACUGACGUUGAGGCUCGAAAGCGUGGGGAGCAAACAGG